AAAGAAAAUUCGAUUCCCUUAGUAGCGGCGAGCGAAACGGGAAGAGCCCAAACCAACAAGCUUGCUUGUUGGGGUUGUAGGACACUCUAUACGGAGUUACAAAGGACGACAUUAGACGAAUCAUCUGGAAAGAUGAAUCAAAGAAGGUAAUAAUCCUGUAGUCGAAAAUGUUGUCUCUCUUGAGUGGAUCCUGAGUACGACGGAACACGUGAAAUUCCGUCGGAAUCUGGGAGGACCAUCUCCUAAGGCUAAAUACUCUCUAGUGACCGAUAGUGAACCAGUACCGUGAGGGAAAGGUGAAAAGCACCCCGGAAGGGGAGUGAAAUAGAACCUGAAACCGUGUGCUUACAAGUAGUCAGAGCCCGUUAAUGGGUGAUGGCGUGCCUUUUGUAGAAUGAACCGGCGAGUUACGAUUUGAUGCAAGGUUAAGCAGUAAAUGUGGAGCCGUAGCGAAAGCGAGUCUGAAUAGGGCGUUUAGUAUUUGGUCGUAGACCCGAAACCAGGUGAUCUACCCUUGGUCAGGUUGAAGUUCAGGUAACACUGAAUGGAGGACCGAACCGACUUACGUUGAAAAGUGAGCGGAUGAACUGAGGGUAGCGGAGAAAUUCCAAUCGAACCUGGAGAUAGCUGGUUCUCUCCGAAAUAGCUUUAGGGCUAGCCUCAAGUGAUGAUUAUUGGAGGUAGAGCACUGUUUGGACGAGGGGCCCCUCUCGGGUUACCGAAUUCAGACAAACUCCGAAUGCCAAUUAAUUUAACUUGGGAGUCAGAACAUGGGUGAUAAGGUCCGUGUUCGAAAGGGAAACAGCCCAGACCACCAGCUAAGGUCCCAAAAUAUAUGUUAAGUGGAAAAGGAUGUGGCGUUGCCCAGACAACUAGGAUGUUGGCUUAGAAGCAGCCAUCAUUUAAAGAGUGCGUAAUAGCUCACUAGUCGAGUGACACUGCGCCGAAAAUGUACCGGGGCUAAACAUAUUACCGAAGCUGUGGAUUGUCCUUUGGACAAUGGUAGGAGAGCGUUCUAAGGGCGUUGAAGCAUGAUCGUAAGGACAUGUGGAGCGCUUAGAAGUGAGAAUGCCGGUGUGAGUAGCGAAAGACGGGUGAGAAUCCCGUCCACCGAUUGACUAAGGUUUCCAGAGGAAGGCUCGUCCGCUCUGGGUUAGUCGGGUCCUAAGCUGAGGCCGACAGGCGUAUGCGAUGGAUAACAGGUUGAUAUUCCUGUACCACCUAUAAUCGUUUUAAUCGAUGGGGGGACGCAGUAGGAUAGGCGAAGCGUGCGAUUGGAUUGCACGUCUAAGCAGUAAGGCUGAGUAUUAGGCAAAUCCGGUACUCGUUAAGGCUGAGCUGUGAUGGGGAGAAGACAUUGUGUCUUCGAGUCGUUGAUUUCACACUGCCGAGAAAAGCCUCUAGAUAGAAAAUAGGUGCCCGUACCGCAAACCGACACAGGUAGUCAAGAUGAGAAUUCUAAGGUGAGCGAGCGAACUCUCGUUAAGGAACUCGGCAAAAUGACCCCGUAACUUCGGGAGAAGGGGUGCUCUUUAGGGUUAACGCCCAGAAGAGCCGCAGUGAAUAGGCCCAAGCGACUGUUUAUCAAAAACACAGGUCUCUGCUAAACCGUAAGGUGAUGUAUAGGGGCUGACGCCUGCCCGGUGCUGGAAGGUUAAGAGGAGUGGUUAGCUUCUGCGAAGCUACGAAUCGAAGCCCCAGUAAACGGCGGCCGUAACUAUAACGGUCCUAAGGUAGCGAAAUUCCUUGUCGGGUAAGUUCCGACCCGCACGAAAGGCGUAACGAUUUGGGCACUGUCUCAACGAGAGACUCGGUGAAAUCAUAGUACCUGUGAAGAUGCAGGUUACCCGCGACAGGACGGAAAGACCCCGUGGAGCUUUACUGUAGCCUGAUAUUGAAAUUCGGCACAGCUUGUACAGGAUAGGUAGGAGCCUUUGAAACGUGAGCGCUAGCUUACGUGGAGGCGCUGGUGGGAUACUACCCUAGCUGUGUUGGCUUUCUAACCCGCACCACUUAUCGUGGUGGGAGACAGUGUCAGGCGGGCAGUUUGACUGGGGCGGUCGCCUCCUAAAAGGUAACGGAGGCGCUCAAAGGUUCCCUCAGAAUGGUUGGAAAUCAUUCAUAGAGUGUAAAGGCAUAAGGGAGCUUGACUGCGAGACCUACAAGUCGAGCAGGGUCGAAAGACGGACUUAGUGAUCCGGUGGUUCCGCAUGGAAGGGCCAUCGCUCAACGGAUAAAAGCUACCCCGGGGAUAACAGGCUUAUCUCCCCCAAGAGUUCACAUCGACGGGGAGGUUUGGCACCUCGAUGUCGGCUCAUCGCAUCCUGGGGCUGUAGUCGGUCCCAAGGGUUGGGCUGUUCGCCCAUUAAAGCGGUACGCGAGCUGGGUUCAGAACGUCGUGAGACAGUUCGGUCCCUAUCCGUCGUGGGCGUAGGAAAUUUGAGAGGAGCUGUCCUUAGUACGAGAGGACCGGGAUGGACAUACCUCUGGUGUACCAGUUGUCGUGCCAACGGCAUAGCUGGGUAGCUAUGUGUGGACGGGAUAAGUGCUGAAAGCAUCUAAGCAUGAAGCCCCCCUCAAGAUGAGAUUUCCCAACUUCGGUUAUAAGAUCCCUCAAAGAUGAUGAGGUUAAUAGGUUCGAGGUGGAAGCAUGGUGACAUGUGGAGCUGACGAAUACUAAUCGAUCGAAGACUUAAUCAA
rnacentral:rRNA from 1 species